UAUUGGGCAAUGGGCGCAAGCCUGACCCAGCAACGCCGCGUGAAGGAAGAAGGCUUUCGGGUUGUAAACUUCUUUUAUGAGGGACGAAAGAAAUGACGGUACCUCAUGAAUAAGCCACGGCUAACUACGUGCCAGCAGCCGCGGUAAUACGGAUGUGGCAAGCGUUACCCGGAUUUACUGGGUGUAAAGGGCGUGUAGGCGGGACUGCAAGUCAGAUGUGAAAAUUAUGGGCUCAACCCAUAACCUGCAUUUGAAACUGUAGUUCUUGAGUGAUGGAGAGGCAGGCGGAAUUCCGUGUGUAGCGGUGAAAUGCGUAGAUAUACGGAGGAACACCAGUGGCGAAGGCGGCCUGCUGGACAUUAACUGACGCUGAGGCGCGAAAGCGUGGGGAGCAAACAGGAUUA
rnacentral:rRNA from 1 species